rnacentral:rRNA from 1 species
AUUGAACGCUGGCGGCGUGCUUAACACAUGUAAGUCGAUCGGUAACAGGUGUAGCAAUACAUGCUGACGAGAGGCGGACGGGUGAGGAACGCUUGGGAAUCUGCCUAUCAGCGGGGGACAACCCGGGGAAACCCGGGCUAAUACCGCAUACGCUCUACGGAGGAAAGCCGGGGACCGCAAGGCCUGGCACUGAUAGAUGAGCCCAAGCCGGAUUAGCUAGUUGGCGGGGUAACGGCCCACCAAGGCGACGAUCCGUAGCUGGUCUGAGAGGACGAUCAGCCAAACCGGAACUGAGACACGGUCCGGACUCCUACGGGAGGCAGCAGUGGGGAAUAUUGGACAAUGGGCGAAAGCCUGAUCCAGCGACGCCGCGUGGGUGAAGAAGGCCUGCGGGUUGUAAAGCCCUUUCGGUAGGGACGAAAGCUCUCGACCUAACACGUCGGGAGGUUGACUUAACCUACAAAAGAAGCACCGGCUAACUCUGUGCCAGCCGCCGCAGUAACAC